UACGAAGGGGGCUAGCGUUGCUCGGAAUUAUUGGGCGUAAAGGGCGCGUAUGGCGGACAUUUAAGUUAGAGGUGAAAGCCCAGGCUCAACCCUGGAAUAGCCUUUAAUACUGGAUGUCUUGAGUUCGGGAGAGGUGAGUGGAACUCCGAGUGUAGAGGUGAAAUUCGUAGAUAUUCGGAAGAACACCAGUGGCGAAGGCGACUCACUGGCCCGAUACUGACGCUGAGGCGGCGAAAGCGUGGGGAGCAAACAGGGAUUAAGAUAACCCGAGUAGUCCCGAGAAC
rnacentral:rRNA from 1 species